CCAGGCAGAAUUCUGAAGGAAAAUAAAUCCUCCAGCAUCGAGCAAUGUUGAACUACCUCCUGGGGGUUUGAGAACUUAUUCCAGUGCUCCAUUCAUCUGGUCUGGGAUCCCCUCCCGAUUUACUGACGACAGAUUGACCCCGGCUGAACAGUUCCAGUCACCAUGGAAUACGACAAUCCCGUAUGCUUAAGCUUGAGAAAAGGCAUAUGGAGCAUUUGAGCGGAUACCUCCCUCAGGAGACAUGAAAUAUAUAGACAACGAGAUGAUUCUAAGCGAGGCCAAUGUCAAUAAGAUGCAAAUCACUUUAUGCGGAGAAACGCGCCCACUACUCCUUCUCCAAGAAUACAACGCUUGCGCCGCUUAACCUUUUGAGCAUAUCCCGUCAACUGCUCAUUUCAUUUUCAGCCUGACACUUUUUUUUGUUCCGGGUCUUCUUCCCCAUUUUUGGAGGAGUUGGAGACGUAGAAAUUGAAUGGAAUUCCUCCUUGUGCUCGCCCGAAAACUCUGUCUGAAGCGGCUGCGCAUCAGAUUGAGCAACUACAAUUUCGUGUGCGGCUUCCACCUCCCCGUCUGUUCGUUCGUUUUCUAUCCGCUCCAUUUCUUUUAGAAAUGUGUCCUCCCAGGCGCCCUCCUCUUCAGCCAACAGGUUUGCUGAAUUUUUAUUCAGGACUUCCUCCGAAAUUCCAUUUUCUUGUACUUCGUCUCUUCCUGGCAUAUGGUCUCUGUCGGACGAUUCCUUUUCCUCUGCGGGGUUAGGUUCUUCUUUAGGUGCAUUUGCCUCACAUGUAUCUUGAAUCAACUCGUAUUUAUUUAACGAGUCAUCGUUUUGAUUUGAUGGCACUUCUGCAACAGAACUAUGCUUCAUAGAUUUGCCAUUUUUAUUGUUUCCAUGUACCUCAAGCUCACUUAUCGACGAGAUGCGCAAGGCAUUCCGAGGUGGUAAUGGGGGAGGAGUGCGUUUGGGAAUGGUAAUGAGCCGAGCACGGGCGAAAGACGGGCUGGUAGGAUGAGCUUGGUUCAACACUCCAGGGAGAGAUUGAUCCUGAAUAACGACGGAUCCUCCCCGGUUGGAGGUAGGCGGCAUACUUUCGACUCUAGAAGAGUUACCCACGUACGAGAUAUGGUGAUUCACCGAUGGUACCCUUUUAAAACUAUCUGAAAAAGGUCGGCAAGUCCCUGGUGGAGUGGUUGGGGGAGUGUUUAGGGGUUGCUGAUAGACGAAAUCGUCCGUCUGUGUGCCUCUGUCAGCGCUUGCAGUGCUCUGGACGCUGCUCCGCCAACUGGCCCUCGGAAAACUCUCAAUACUCGAUCUUGAAAAUCGAUUGUGUAAUGGGCUCGACGGACUGGGUCGGAAUUCAAACAUAUCAGCACUGGCUAUGCGCUUCGUUCCAGCUUCUCGAAUUAGUAUACCCUCCUUUUCUAACGCCAUGACGCCAAACGGAUCCUGGUCCUCAGGCUGGGGAAUACCGAAUAUAUCGGUUUCCACAUCAGCAUCUCCAGGGGCUUCACCUGGAGGUGGAAGCAUUGUCUCAUCAAUAUCGGUAUCGCCCUGAGCUGCCUUUAUUGUCUCCAUUAAUGUUCCUAUUGAGGAUGGCGGAUGCCUUCCUUUACCCGCUAAAAUAUCAGCCACACUGAUUCGCUCACCAUAGAAACGCUCGUUUUCGUCGCUCCUCUCGAUUACGAUCGUACCAUCUACUUGAACCCCUGCAUACAACCCCCUGCUCUUGACAUAUGUCCACACCGGAGCCCGUCGCUUGUGUACCUCAGAGUCCAUCACACCUCCCACACCAAACGGGCCAGCAGCAGCGCUGACUUCCCCGCCAAGUGUACAUCGUACCGCUUUGAAAGCCUCUAACGCCUCGUAAGUAUUGAUGACAACCACGCAAUCGUAGAUAUCGGCGCCAGCCAGAAACCCAAGUCCUGUGGUAUGCAACAUGAUUCCUGACGGAGGACUCCACUUUCCCGUUUCCUUGGCCCUCGCGACAAGAAUCCCGCUACCUCCAGCUCCACUCAGCCAAAGGCCUGUUCUCAUUGCUGUAAAUAUUGCCAAGCCCUUAGCCUGCUUGAUAACAGCAGACGGUAUCUUUUUUACAACCCUUUGUUUCCCCUUUGGUCUGUCAAUAGUGUCCUUGUUGUUUUCCCCAGUAUCCUUGUAUCCCUCACCUCCAUCUUCAGAAGUUGUACGCGGACUUGUCCCGUUCGUCGCUUCGCUCUCAUUGUCGAUCUGCGUAUAGAAUCCAUCUUUGCAGAAACUUCGCAAUAUACGAGCUGCCUUAUCACUUUCCUUAUCCAGAGUUGUGGGCCAGAAAGCCUCCGCACCGAGUUUGUUCGACAGGCGAUUCACCGGGGGACCAAGCUUGUCCAAAGUAUUCCAAGCCUUGUCAAAUCCGCGCUUCGAAUAUCCUUUCGUCUUUUGCCAUUUUGACUGCGGCAUUGUACCCUUCGUUGCUCGCCGAUUGUAAUCGGAGCCAAAGAUAGGGGCCGAAAGGGUGUUUGCUCAAACCCCAUGGACACUGGUAGUCAAGAAGUCAAACGCGUUUGGUGUUCAAGGAGUAGUUGGAGACAAAAGAUGCGCUCUUAAGGCGAAAACUUGGGGGAAAUGUUUAACUUAGGGAAGGCUGGGAGCCCGUUCGGAACCUCGAAGUUUAAAUAACCCGACAAAUCUGUGCCUCGCAGUGACUUUUACUUAGGUUUCCCAAAAAAUAAUUAUGUCCCAAAAAGACAAGAAAGAGAGUUUGAGGGUGCCAAAUCGCAAGGGAUAGUAGGUAUCUAUACAGGGAGUACAAAUUAUGGAAACAGACCCUCCAAAGGGAAAUCCUCACCAAGCCCUUCAGGCACUUGUAGGCUGGUAAUUUAGGUGGGUUAUAUUACAACAAAGGGUGAUUGAUCAUGUUUGUUUUACUAUCAAUGUAAUCUCCCAAUGAAACAUCUCUACCAAGAUGUUGGUUGCGGUCGAGCCUUUCAUACAAGUUUCUUCACGGUCAGGUCGGUUCGAUGUUUUCAGCCGCCAACGGAGAAUCAGGAAAAAAAAGAAAUUAGAGAAUCAUGACGGGAUUUCCAGA
rnacentral:sRNA from 1 species